rnacentral:rRNA from 1 species
GACGAACGCUGGCGGCGUGCCUAAUACAUGCAAGUAGAACGCACAGUUUAUACCGUAGCUUGCUACACCAUAGACUGUGAGUUGCGAACGGGUGAGAAACGCGUAGGUAACCUGCCUGGUAGCGGGGGAUAACUAUUGGAAACGAUAGCUAAUACCGCAUAAUAUUAAUUAUUGCAUGAUAAUUAAUUGAAAGGUGCAAUUGCACCACUACCAGAUGGACCUGCGUUGUAUUAGCUAGUAGGUGAGGUAACGGCUCACCUAGGCGACGAUACAUAGCCGACCUGAGAGGGUGAUCGGCCACACUGGGACUGAGACACGGCCCAGACUCCUACGGGAGGCAGCAGUAGGGAAUCUUCGGCAAUGGACGAAAGUCUGACCGAGCAACGCCGCGUGAGUGAAGAAGGUUUUCGGAUCGUAAAGCUCUGUUGUAAGAGAAGAACGGGUGUGAGAGUGGAAAGUUCACACUGUGACGGUAUCUUACCAGAAAGGGACGGCUAACUACGUG